CAACGGAUCCCUAAAGUUGAGAACCUCGGACCAGUCCUUUAACCUUUAAAUCCUGAGAUUCGCACAUGGGAAUAUUAAACGCGGGUGCAUCGACUGCACUCGGGAUAAAUUUGAGGUGAUAGGAACCAGUUACGUUUUCGUGAGUAACCAUGAGCGAGUGAGGCCGCAAAUGAACGAAUGAAACAAGCAGCGAACAGAGGAACGCAGAGCGACGCCUCUCAUCGCUUCAAAGCAACGACCCGAACGUUCAAGGCUGUCUCGAACAGGCGUCGGUCGCUUCAUGGGCACCUGCCCCGACUAGUCGCCACGAAACUUUCAAUCGCGAUAUCGCGCGCUCAUCCGAACGUCUCUUGGGCGAUGGGAGGAUGAAGUAAGAACAAAAAGAAAAUAACGAAAGAGGCAAAAUUCGCUCAAGAUUUUUGAACGUUGCACACCGCCAACCGGCUGUCACGAUAUUGGCGCAUGCGCUGUUGCUCGAUAGAGUCCGAUACGUGCGAGCUUCAGAAUUUUGAAGGUGGCGGCGCCACUGUACGUAUCCACCUUUGAAUAGUUUACUGCAGUGUCCUAAGCAAAAAAUAUUUAAAUUUUCGACCCAAGAAACAAAUUUAAUACCAAGUAAAGCACAAAUUCACAAUAUGUAUAAAAAAAUAUAAGUAAAUUCUAUACACGAGAAAUAUUUCUACAGUGAAUUCACGGUGAACAGCCUCGCGAAGACGGUUGCCCCGAAAGGCGUCCCGACGAACAAAUAAAACUGUUUAAUACAUAAAUUGUAACCAGUACAAAAGGAUAGAUAGUGAUAUCAUAAAAAGGUGAAAAAAUAAUUAUCCUAAAGGAUCGACGAGAUCGACCUGACUCGACAUAACCUCAAUUAUUAUAUGUUGAUAAAACGACAAUUUCACUUCAGACAUUAACCAAGUCCGUCUCGUUCUAGCAGCUAUUUUUCUACCGGUCAACCGGUUGUAAUCAUUGUCGUCGCUUUGCAAAAGUUCCUUCAGACCUGAGGGUCUCGUACCCUGGACCCAAUAUAUUCCUGAGACAGUCCCACUUGGAGACAUAUACGCAACACGCACGUAAGAUUUUUUUUUCGAAUUCGAUCAGCGCCGCCAAUCUAACAGCUAUUCCAGGUCCCAGCACCAAGUCUCUAGUGAAACGUACUCCCAGAGGAACAGAUGAACACGAAGAGGCAGUCAGGCAAGGAGUCAAACGAGAGUCUGUCUGAGUUGGCGGUAACUUUCUGGAGCAUCAACGCAGAUAAACGGACCAAGAUAAAGAGCAUCGAUUCUCAGGGACAAAUCGAUCGCAGUCAGACCCAAUUUUCGCCAAAGAAAUGGUUGCCUUGCAAGGAGACUCCUGGAUGACUACAUAUGAAAUCAAAAGCGUUCUCAUAAUGAAAAAGAUUUCGGCUAUAACGUCUACGACCCAACCGGUGCUUAAAGGGAGGCUGCACCGAGUUCUUUUGAACUUCUCGUCAAUAGGUUUGAGCUGAUUUAUUUUUUGCUAUAUAUAUAUAGUAAAAUAUAUUCCCUUCUUCCUGUGCAACCGAAUCGAACAAUGGCGCAGGCGGAAGCCUGUCUGACGGAAGGUACCAAAGAGAGAAGAAACCUGAGGGUCAACCAGACCUGGUAUAGUAGUGUUGCUAGAUGUAUAUAGAUAUAGUAACGAGUGCAUGUAUCUUCUCUCUUUUCUCUUGGGAGAAAGUCAGUCAACAAUGAUUACGUGAUUGGCACUCGACAAUCUCGUUGAUACUCAGUUACAUCGGAAAUCUGCAAUCCGUACGUUUUACCAUGGACUGUUGUCAGUAAGAGUAUUGCUAGGUAUAUUUUCUUUUAAAAAUUUUCAGUAGACGUCACGAAGUUUGACAUAUAAUUGAAAAGUUGAAUUUAUAACUUCUCUUCUCUCCCUGAUAUGUAUCUAUGAGUAUAAUGAUCGAUACUGCACCUCACGUAUAUAGAUAUAUAUUCUAUUUAUACUCAUAGAACGCUGUAUAAAUUCCAUCCAGCGAACCUUCGAGAACUUACAGUUUGAUCUAAUGCGUAUAGUAAAAAUGAUUAUGUUCAGUAAUAUAUGUAUGGUGGUAAUUAAUAAAUUGACAAAAACGUCGGGUAACCUACAAAUGUUUUUAUAAAA